UACGGGAGGCAGGAGUGGGGAAUAUUGCACAAUGGGCGCAAGCCUGAUGCAGCCAUGCCGCGUGUAUGAAGAAGGCCUUCGGGUUGUAAAGUACUUUCAGUCGUGAGGAAGGUGUUAAGGUUAAUAACCUUAGCAAUUGACGUUAGCGACAGAAGAAGCACCGGCUAACUCCGUGCCAGCAGCCGCGGUAAUACGGAGGGUGCGAGCGUUAAUCGGAAUUACUGGGCGUAAAGGGCACGCAGGCGGUUAAUUAAGUUGGAUGUGAAAUCCCCGGGCUUAACCUGGGAAUGGCAUUCAAGACUGGUUAGCUAGAGUCUUGUAGAGGGGGUAGAAUUCCAUGUGUAGCGGUGAAAUGCGUAGAGAUGUGGAGGAAUACCGGUGGCGAAGGCGGCCCCUGGACAAAGACUGACGCUCAUGUGCGAAAGCGUGGGGAGCAAACAGGGAUUAGAUACC
rnacentral:rRNA from 1 species